GGGGAGAGAGCUCAGUGGUAGAGCACUUGCCUAGUAUGUGCAAGAUCCUGGGUUCCAUCCUCAGUCUCUCCC
rnacentral:tRNA from 1 species